rnacentral:rRNA from 1 species
GUGCACCAGGCGCGAAACCUCCGCAAUGCGGGAAACCGCGACGGGGGGACCCCGAGUGCCGUGGCAACGCCACGGCUUUUCCGGAGUGUAAAAAGCUCCGGGAAUAAGGGCUGGGCAAGGCCGGUGGCAGCCGCCGCGAUAAUACCGGCGGCCCGAGUGGUGGCCGCUAUUAUUGGGCCUAAAGCGUCCGUAGCCGGGCCCGUAAGUCCCUGGCGAAAUCCCACGGCUCAACCGUGGGGCUUGCUGGGGAUACUGCGGGUCUUGGGACCGGGAGAGGCGGGGGGUACCCCUGGGGUAGGGGUGAAAUCCUAUAAUCCCAGGGGGACCGCCAGUGGCGAAGGCGCCCCGCUGGAACGGGUCCGACGGUGAGGGACGAAGGCCAGGGGAGCAAACCGGAUUAGAUACCCGCGUAGU